rnacentral:misc_RNA from 1 species
AAGUCGUAACAAGGUUUCCGUAGGUGAACCUGCGGAAGGAUCAUUAACAAAUCUGUAAUGUGUGUGUUGGGGGGAGGGGGAUAUAUAAUAUGGGGGUAUAUAGUAUGGGGAUAUAAUAUCUCUAUAUAAUAUCUCUGUAUAUGAUAUAGCCCUCUCUACCAAACACGCAUAUAUAACAUUGACUCGGACUUGGCUGUAUGGUAUAUGGCGACAUGUACGGUAUGGCUCAAGUCUUGAGCAAUAUUCACGCUUGUUGUGUUUGACUGAGUUACAAUUGUGGGAAAUAUAGACAACUUUUAACAAUGGAUCUCUUGGCUCUU